rnacentral:piRNA from 1 species
GAGGACUCUUUGUCACAGUUGUGCUGUGCCCU